AUGUACAAUUUUUGAACAUUUGACCGCAGUUGUCAAAACAACAAUUUCCAGUUGGUUUAAGCCUUAAGUACAGGCUUCUGGACAGAAUUUGGAUAGGGUGCCGUUGUGGCAACACCUUGUAGGCCUGUUUUUCUUUUUUUUAUCGUCCAAUAAAAACCCUCCAAAUGUAUUUUCUGUAAUUUUUCUAUUGAUUUUUCUUGUACCUAUGGCAUCUCUCUUUCCAACCAACCAGGACAAAGGGAAUUGGUAUGUAAACAAUUGAUGCAUCCUUGGUGAAGCAACAUGUUAUUGAGGUGAAGCAUCAGGACCCUCUUUUAAUAUCGCUUGAUUCUUAAAGAACUAGGCAUUAUUAACCAUAAAAUACUUGGUAUUUGGAGGGAUUUUGAAGACGGAUAAACUUCGAUGAAUUUUCACGAUUAGGAUUUGCAACCGUAGGCGAAAAAUAAUCGAGACGGAAAUACGUAUUCACCCAUUUUGUUCUUUAUUUUGAGCUGAGGUUCAAAGAAGUGUAGAAAAUGUUGAGUCUUAAGGGAUAGCAAAUAAUAUCUUAAUGGUAAUGGAAGAUUCCAUUAUAUAUAAUGCACAUGAAAUCAUGGAAAACAAGAUUCUAAGUAUUCCUCCUCACAUUUAUUUCUUCUUCCUUUUUUUUUUUUUUUUGGAUUCUAGCAGAUGUGUAACUUGAUGUUAUUUAUGUAUUUCACGUUUGCUGAUACACCACUUCCGCCCCUUGGUUCUCAUCAACAGGGGCAUGAAAGAAGUGUCUUCACAACAAUUGAUCCAAGAUUCACCAAGAAUGCUCGAGGGAAAACUUUUGUCGACAAUCCAGUUAUCAGUUGAAGCAUGAAAGAUAGGUAAGAUAUGUAGUGAAUAAAAUCAGAUUUGACAUCACAGUACCUCGUAUUCUUGGCACUUUAGAAAUAUUAUAAGAACAAUGCCGUACCUUUAUUUCACUGGGCCUGAGGCGAACUUCAGAAUUUGGGCUCCUAAGUCAAGCAAGAAAUCCAUUUUUUAUUGUCCGUUGUUCUCAAUCAUUAAAUUUUUCGAUGUUCGUUCCUUCUCUUUUCUUUAUUGAUAUUAAGGUACGUAUCCAUAUCUCCAGUUUGACUUCGUAUUAAUGCCUCUACUUUUUCUCUCUUCUUUCUUGUUAUUAAGGUACGUAUCCAUAUCUUCAGUUUGGUUUCGAAUUAAUGUCACAACUCUCUCUCUUCUUCUUUUUUGAGCUCCAAACACAUAGUUAGGAGCCAUAUAUUUAACUCAAGUCACUCAACAGCUAAUACUUACUAAGGCCCUAUUUGAGUUCCAUUAUUUCCUCAUUAAAAUGAAAAAUAUGAC
rnacentral:lncRNA from 1 species